ACAGUUAAGCGCGCUUGAGCCAGAGGCGUCUUGGGAUGGGUGACCACCUGGGAAGUCCUGGUUACCGGGUGCA
rnacentral:rRNA from 1 species